CGGUAACACUACGUUGAAACACUGGUUACCAUACGAUCACCAAAGUUAAGCAACAUCGAGCCUGUUCAGUAUCUAGAUGGGUGACCACUUGGGAAUAUCAGGCGCUGUAAU